GUGGGGAGUUGUCAGCUUGAAGCUGGCAAGAGUCUUCUACCAGCUGUUCUCACUUCAUACUGAGAUCCAGAGAGUGGCUGGGAUCUCCUGAAAAGAUCUUCCACUUCUCUUUUUGGUUUCCCAUGGAUGUGACCCUCUCCUAGGGAAUGCUAUAACUUUUACAUUAAGAAAAGACCUACAUAUGCAGCAAUGCUGAGUUGUCCCAGGUCCCUGUAGAUGUCUGUCAGCAUUCCAUGCCUGUUCAAAUGAGGGCAUUUGGCCAAUUACUCCAUUUUUACACAAGAUAUAAAGCUAGGAGUGUGAUGUCAGUGAUGUGGAACUGAAGACACAUUUUGUAGAAGUUGAUGGAUUAAGAAAAAGAAGUUGCAUUUUAUUACCUAUCCUAAAGAUAGAAGGUGAUCUGAACAUUCUAAUAUCACUUGCCAAGACUGUUGGAGCAUGGGGAAGAGAGGUUCCUCGCAUGACUGACAGCUUAGAAGCCAGAGGUCAAGGGAGCCUAUCGAUCAAUGCACUCCACGCAAAUAUGUCCCAGGAGCAGGAUAGAACAAGGUGUAAAAGGGUGGGACUCUAUCUAGAGGGGCAAAAUGAAGAUAUCGAACACAUUGACAUGAAUAAAAUAUGUACAAUGUCAUUAUAAUGUGUCAAAUUUGCACAGAAAAAUAAUCAUAAAAUAUUUAAUGUCAUAGUCAACUACUGGUGGUGUUUUAUGCCAGCUGCACUUUAGCUGGUUAACUGGAGGAUUUGAGUGAAAAUACUUCUUUUUUUUUUUUUUUUAAGAGAGAGAGAGGUUCAGGAAACAUCUGAAGGGGAAUGGGCAAGUGAUGCCUGAACGGUACUGGCAGAAGAUAAAUGGUAUGUUAUUUUAAGCCAAUAGAAAGCUUAAUCCCAUGAGGGAAACUCUGGGAAAUGUACACCAUAUGAGUCAGAAUUACUCCAAGAAUGAGGGAGCUAGGACACUUAGCUUCCUGAACCAUUGGGUGUGAUCUGCCCCUGUAGGCAAAGGGCCUUCCUAGGAUCUAGAAAAAAAGACUCCAGGCAGCUAGAUGUAGAUACUGGCCAUUGGAUGUUUGUCAAAGCAAAAGAAAGAUCUGAAGGGUAAGGGAAGGACAUUGUUGGUGUCUAUACUUUUGGCCAAUAUGCCACAAGUACAAAUGCACCAGUUACAGUGUUAAGCAUGACUGCUUGAAUUUACAACCAGCUUUUGAGGAUAUGGAUAUGGAAGGUGUUCUUAAAAGUCCCAUCUUAUUGUCGUGACAGCAAAGAUCAUUAUAUAAGUCUGUUAUUAUUUCAGGCAAUUAAAAAACUGUCUCGUAAUUAUUUGAGUCACAUUUCUUUUUAAUAUUUUUGACAGUCUGUAAUUUUAGAAUAACACUCUCAAAUACAUCAUUUGCCAUAUUUUAACACAUUGGAGUUACAUAAUCUGUGUAUCAGUGUACCAGAGUGAAUUUGGUUUUGUGAAGACCUCAGAAGAAAAGCUUACCUGCAAUCUCCAUGUCUAAACUUGAAUAGAUUAAAAUGUUCCCUUGAUUAGGA
rnacentral:lncRNA from 10 species